rnacentral:rRNA from 1 species
CUGGCUCAGGACGAACGCUGGCGGCGUGCCUAACACAUGCAAGUCGAACGGACGAGGGGAGCUUGCUCCCUGAGUUAGUGGCGAACGGGUGAGUAACGCGUGAGCAACCUGCCUUUCAGAGGGGGACAACGGUUGGAAACGACCGCUAAUACCGCAUGAAGCAAUCGGACCGCAUGAUCUGAUUGCCAAAGAUUUUAUCGCUGAAAGAUGGGCUCGCGUCUGAUUAGAUAGUUGGUGGGGUAACGGCUCACCAAGUCGACGAUCAGUAGCCGGACUGAGAGGUUGAACGGCCACAUUGGGACUGAGAUACGGCCCAGACUCCUACGGGAGGCAGCAGUGGGGAAUAUUGGGGACCAAUGGGGGAAACCCUGACCCAGCAACGCCGCGUGAAGGAAGAAGGUUUUCGGAUUGUAAACUCCUGUUUCGAGGGACGAUAAUGACGGUACCUCGGGAGGAAGCUCCGGCUAACUACGUGCCAGCCGCCGC